CCCCCAGCCUCUGCACAGAGCCAAUACCCAAGUCUCCUCCUUAAUCAUUCUUUCCCUCGCCUCUGUCCUACCUGCUCCCCUCCCAGGUGUACCUACAGUACUCCUUCCUAGGUGCACUAACAACGAUUCUGUCAUUCUAUGCCAGAGCAGGCACUGCUCAUUUUAGUUAUGACGAUCAUCUGGGAUAAAAGGUCAGCGUUUUAAAGAGGAGGAAACUUCAGGCAGAGAGGAUGAUAAUAAUCACCACCAACGGUCAGGGAAGGUGUAGACAGCAGUAACAGAAGUUUGUCUUGAGUUAUAUAGGACCGGGAAUGGCCGCGAACUGACAGAAGCAGUUCUUGAUUGAAUAUUUGGUUUUUUGGUAUCUCCCAAAAUGCAUAGUUUUCCCAUUCAGUUCACCAUUUAACCGUGUGUGUUGUUAAUACAAGAGAUUAGAUUGAUAACUCUGAGCUCUGGAAAAUUAACGAAGGCUUCUAUCUUCAUAUAGGGCUUUCUGAAGGCGGCCCGAUUUCCUCAGGAGCCAGACUGCAAGAUUGCUGGUUCUGCUAGGAGUAUCACGUGUCAGUUUCUUCUCAUAUCCAAGUCGGCAUGCAGGAGUUUUUUACAUGGAUUUGACUAUUUUUGAGAUUUGAGAAUAGAAACAUCACUAUAUGCCUAACCACAGCUUCUGAGCCCCUCCCUAAAACUUUGAAGUAAGCGCACUAAAAAGAUUAAAGCACGGUAAGAUGCGAGUUCCUUCCAUCCGUCAUUCAGUCAACCAUUAUCGCGCUACCGUGCAAGCCACUGCGCGGGGCUCCAUGGGAGACGACAGGGUGAGGUCACAGAGGAGCCUCCAAGGGGCCGGUCUACACGACAAGCGCGGGUAAAUGCCUACAGCACAAAGUGUAACACGCCAUAAGAAAGGUACAGAUAAAGCACUCUGGAUUCAGAGGCAGAAGAGACCAACUUCAACUAAGGGACUCACUGACACGACUGUCACAUGGUGCUUAAUGACCAAAGGACCAUUCUGCUGGUCAUAAUGCUAAACAUACAACUCAAGGAACUGCGCUGUAUUUUACAUUACCAUUGUCCUCAUGAUGGAAAAUGAAGUGAGUAGAGGAGAAGUUAAGGUUGCAGGGUGCCGACUAACUCUCAGAAAGACAAGAAGAGGUACAACUGCUCUGUUAAUAGUAGUAUUCAAGAAGAGAUGUUUGUGAAUAACUUAGUUACUUCCCUUAUAUUUUAAUAAGCUCUCACCUUAGUUACAAUGCAGAAAGAAUUGCUAUAAAUUCAGCUAUAAUUCCUUUUUUAUAAC
rnacentral:lncRNA from 1 species